GGGUUGUGAGGUUAAGCGACUAAGCGUACACGGUGGAUGCCCUGGCAGUCAGAGGCGAUGAAGGGCGUGCUAAUCUGCGAUAAGCGCCGGUAAGGUGAUAUGAACCGUUAUAACCGGCGAUACCCGAAUGGGGAAACCCAGUGUGAUUCGUCACACUAUCAUUACGUGAAUACAUAGCGUAAUGAAGCGAACCGGGGGAACUGAAACAUCUAAGUACCCCGAGGAAAAGAAAUCAACCGAGAUUCCCCCAGUAGCGGCGAGCGAACGGGGAGGAGCCCAGAGCCUGAAUCAGCAUGUGUGUUAGUGGAAGCGUCUGGAAAGGCGCGCGAUACAGGGUGACAGCCCCGUACACAAAAGCGCAUGUGUUGUGAGCUCGAUGAGUAGGGCGGGACACGUGGUAUCCUGUCUGAAUAUGGGGGGACCAUCCUCCAAGGCUAAAUACUCCUGACUGACCGAUAGUGAACCAGUACCGUGAGGGAAAGGCGAAAAGAACCCCGGCGAGGGGAGUGAAAAAGAACCUGAAACCGUGUACGUACAAGCAGUGGGAGCACCCUUUGGGGUGUGACUGCGUACCUUUUGUAUAAUGGGUCAGCGACUUAUAUUCUGUAGCAAGGUUAACCGAAUAGGGGAGCCGGAGGGAAACCGAGUCUUAACCGGGCGUUAAGUUGCAGGGUAUAGACCCGAAACCCGGUGAUCUAGCCAUGGGCAGGUUGAAGGUUGGGUAACACUAACUGGAGGACCGAACCGACUAAUGUUGAAAAAUUAGCGGAUGACCUGUGGCUGGGGGUGAAAGGCCAAUCAAACCGGGAGAUAGCUGGUUCUCCCCGAAAGCUAUUUAGGUAGCGCCUCGUGAACUCAUCUCCGGGGGUAGAGCACUGUUUCGGCUAGGGGGCCAUCCCGGCUUACCAACCCGAUGCAAACUGCGAAUACCGGAGAAUGUUAUCACGGGAGACACACGGCGGGUGCUAACGUCCGUCGUGAAGAGGGAAACAACCCAGACCGCCAGCUAAGGUCCCAAAGUCAUAGUUAAGUGGGAAACGAUGUGGGAAGGCCCAGACAGCCAGGAUGUUGGCUUAGAAGCAGCCAUCAUUUAAAGAAAGCGUAAUAGCUCACUGGUCGAGUCGGCCUGCGCGGAAGAUGUAACGGGGCUAAACUAUGCACCGAAGCUGCGGCAGCGACACU
rnacentral:rRNA from 1 species